CUCAGGACCUUGUGCUUGCCAGGCCUGGCCCAUUUCAGCAGUUCUGGAGGUCCUGCCUGAGUGUCUAUAUGAGCUACGGUCACAAAUCCGGUAAACGCUGCUGCUGAGUGUCACCGAAAGCAAAGACAGUGUCAUGAAAACAUUAUGGAGAGAAAAUGUUCGCAAAAGGAGAUCUAAGGAGCUCCCCACCAAUUUAGAAGAGACAGAAGAAAGGACACUCUGUGCCAGCUGUGAAAGAAG